rnacentral:tRNA from 1 species
UUUAUAGAAGUUCUUUGAAUAUAAUACUGAAGCUAUUAAGGAGGCCUAUGGCCCAUAAAU